GUGGUGUUGCUCGCGCCGGUCGCGGGCGUCGCGCUCGGGCCGUGACGCGAUCCGCGCGGCACGCGAGCGUGCCGGUUGCCGCGGCAUUGUCACC
rnacentral:tRNA from 1 species